CCGGCGCGGCGGCUGGCGCGGCGGCUUCCGCUCCUGACGGCGGCGAGGACUCUGGCAGCGCCUGGGGCUCCGGCGGGUCUGCGGGCUGCGGGCCGCGAUGCUGAAGGCCAAGAUCCUCUUCGUGGGGCCCUGCGAGAGUGGAAAAACCGUUUUGGCCAACUUCCUGACAGAAUCUUCUGACAUCACCGAAUACAACCCAACCCAAGGAGUGAGGAUCCUGGAAUUUGAGAACCCACACGUUACCAGCAACGACAAAAGCACGGGGUGUGAAUUUGAGCUCUGGGACUGUGGUGGCGAUCCAAAGUUCGAGUCUUGCUGGCCAGCCCUGAUGAAGGACUCUCACGGGGUGGUGAUCGUCUUCAAUGCUGACAUCCCAAGCCACCUGAAGGAAAUUGAGAUGUGGUAUUCCUGCUUCGUCCAGCAGCAGUUUUUACAGGAUACUCAAUGUCUGUUAAUUGCACACCACAAACCAGGCUCUGGAAGUGACAAAGGAAACCUGGCUUUGGCGCCACCCUUGAACAAGCUGAAGCUGGUGCACUCAAAUCUUGAGGAUGACCCAGAAGAGAUCAGAAUGGAGUUCAUAAAGUAUUUAAGAAGCAUAAUCAACUCAGUGUCUGAGAGCAGAGACCGGGAGGAGAUGUCAAUUAUCACCUAACCGGCCUUCACCUAGACGCUUCCGCAUCCCAAAUGAAGUCAAUUUCAGUGCAGAUCUGAAAUCCAUCCACCUACUAAGGUUCUCAUCUCCCUUUGGCUGUAGAAGACAUUUUCCUUAUUUGGCCAAAGAUGUGACAAGGCACAUGAAAGCCACAGAAGCAUGAAACAGCUCAGAAGUGUGGGAAACUCGGUAGUGGAUCGUCACUCAAGGCUGUGUGGAGGAGGGAGUGUCUGAGUGAGUGAGGCGGAGUGUGUGGAGGAGGGGACUGGAGGUGGGUGGGUGUGCGUGUGGGUGAGGAGAGAGGACCAGGGGUCAGAUGGUGAAGGGCUUCUUACACCCGGCCAAGGUGUCAGGGUUUGAGCUGCCACUGAAGGAUGUUCACUGCAGGUUGAUGUGGUCGGAUCUCCAUGGUAGAAAAGCCCCUCUGACCGCAGUGUGAGGGCUGGAUCGGAAGGAGGACGAGUGUAGAGGUGGCGGCUGUCAUUCCUUGGUUUGUGGCCCCAUCACUCCAGUCUUCGCGGCCAGCAUCUUCAAAUCUCUCUCUGCUCCAUCUUCACAUUGCCUUCACCUCUGUGUAUCUGACUCAAAUCUCCCUCUACUUCAUUCUUGUAAGGAUACUUAUAAUUGCAUUUAGGGCCCAGGAUAAUCUCCCCAUCUAAAGAUCCUUAAUUUAGUCACAUGUGCAAAGACGCUUUUUCCAAGCAAAGUAUCAUUUACAGGAUGUGCACGUUACCGGGAGUGGGGCCUGAUGUCUUUGCAGGCCAUUAUUCAGCCUACCACAGAUGCUGGUCACUGAGGCGUUAGUAGAAGAGGAGGAGCAGGUUUUAGGGGGGUGACAAAUGACUAGUUCAAGGUGACUCAGCAAGUUAGGGACAGGGACAGAACUGGAUCCCAUGCCCCCACUCUUUCCACUGUCUUGUGUAACUGGGCAGAUGAGUCUACAAGUGGACCUGGCUAAGAGUCUCACCCUUUGAGACUGAACCUAGUAAAGCAAUAACAACCACAGCAACAACAGCAGGGCAAAUAACCAUUUUUGGAGCUAAACCACCCAGAAAAUGGUUUGCAAGUAUGUUGCAGAUAUAUAUAGCAUCAUAUUUCUUGAAACCAAUCAAAUGACCAAGUAGUAUUCUGAAGCUCUGUUGUAAAGAAAAUUACAACUUAUAUUGUAACCUGAAUGUCCGUAUCUCAAAAUUGUUCAGGAAAGCUCCUGGAGAUCAUUAUACAUUUGCUGGAAUACCAGAAGACCCUUAUGUCCAAAGUGUAGGCUAAGUUGCUAUAACAACAGAUGGAGCUUUGCUGGUAACUGAGAACAUAUAAGAGUUAAUAAAAGAGCAGUGCUCCUGAUACCCAUUGAAAAGGUAACUGCAUUGGUACCACUUAAGAAAAUCAUUCUGGGGCUUCCCUGGUGGCGCAGUGGUUGAGAAUCUGCCUGCUAAUGCAGGGGACACGGGCUCGAGCCCUGGUCUGGGAAGAUCCCACAUGCCAAGGAGCAACUGGGCCCGUGAGCCACAACUACUGAGCCUGCGCAUCUGGAGCUUGUGCUCCGCAACAAGAGAGGCCGCGAUAGUGAGAGGCCCGCGCACCGCGAUGAAGAGUGGCCCCCGCUUGCCGCAACUAGAGAAAGCCCUUGCACAGAAACGAAGACCCAACACAGCCAAAAAUAAAUAAAUAAAUAAAUAAAUAAUAAAAAUAAAGGAAUUCCUUUUAAAAAAAAAAAAGAAAAUCAUUCUGAACUGUGGCCCUUCUAGAUCUUGACUUCAGCCUUCCCCACCUGAUUCCUGAGAACUACAUGAAUAUCCUGGCCUUGGCUGAUGCUUUUUCAACAAACGUACUCUUUCCUCAGGCAAGAAAUGAAGGAUUCUACAUUUUAAAAACCAAAGCCAAAGAAAUUAAAUAAAUGAGGAAGAUGGAAACUCUGCUUUUGAAUGUUAAGAGAUUACGUAUUUUUGACUGUGACUUCUAAAUGGCUUUAUCAGUUAAAUAAUUCUCUAUGUUUAUGAUCUGGGCCAUUCUUCCUACCGAAGUUAAAAGCUAAUGGAAAUGUUCUGUCUGCCAAGUAUUCCCACUUCACAAGGAAAGUUUCUUGGUGCUUUGAUGUGGGCAACACCUCAUCUGUCUUCUUACACGUACAGUUCAUUCCUAUCUGGGCUUUCUGAUAGCCUUUAAAAGUAUGCCUCCUUUCUCUAAAGCCUCAGGCAGAUUCACUCCACGCUUACAGCUCUUUGGAUCAAGUGUAUAGAUCUUAGACUUUCAAAGUGUUGUAUAAAAAAAAAAAAUCUAUUAAGACUGUUUAUAAUCCUACCGGAGUUUUGUGAUAAGUAGUUCAUACAAGAACCAUUGUGUUUUUGUUUUUUGUUUUAAUCUUUUGUGUGACUUUACAAGACCUGGAAAACACCUAGGUGUGAAUUAACCAGAUCAUGUAAUGAAAUAUUUUGUUCAGAGAAAUAAAAUCCUAAUUUUAUCGAAGUAUGAGAAACUUGGUUUCUACUGAUAGAAACCUAUUUCAAGUACUUUUCAAGAAUAUUUUGCAAAUCCAGCUACACUUGGAAUGUAUCACCCUUUUGGGGGGGCAACUGUUAAAAGCAAGAAGUUGUGCUCUGCAUUUUUAAAAAAUGGUGGCAAUGGCUUUAAGAUGUCAAUCACAAAUGAGAUGAACAAUCUAAAGAGAAUGGUUCUUACAUAUGAGGAGACUAGUGGGAGACAGUAGGUGAGAGGUCAAAUAUACAUGCCAGCCGGUUAAUGUGGACUUGGUUCUAUUAGCUGUGUAAGAGCCCUAAGAGAGCAGGGACAAUUACUUUGGUGGCCGUGAGGAGAAUAGAUUUAAGGGAGUGUCUGAAAUACAGCACUGAGGGUUGGCACGAAGAGAAAGGGAGAGAUUCUGUACGCAUUGGGGAGGUAAAUAUUGUGCUUGAGUGGAAAAGAAGGGAGAAGCAGGGAGGAUUCAAUCCCGUAUCCUUACUGUAGGUGCUCGAGGUAGUGGCUGUUAUGACUACAUUUCCCAUGGCCCUUAGGGCAGCGCCAUCUGCAUUUCCCAGAGGGCUGUGCGAUGCUCACGCUGGCCCUGAGCAUUGGUGGAAACAAAGUUAAACAGGAGGGAGUGUACUCUUUAUGUUGCUUUAUAAACAAAUUUCCCAUCCUCAUUCUCUCUCCUAUCCCUCUUCUCUGUCUCCAACUCCUCUGUCCACGGGCUUCAGGGGCCCAAAUACGCCGGGACUGGUCUUCUUGGCAACAACUCGAUGUUACCUUUUCGGUGCCCCGCGCGAGCGUGCCCGGAGGCUUCUGGAAAAUGUAGUUAAGCCUCCCGGCGGCCCAGACCGAACCAAAUGGCUCUGCCUCCUCGGGCCCCAGAAUCAAGGGCUGGGUGGCGGGCGCGCGUGCCCGGCCUGUUUGGAAGCCGUGGGGGUAGAGGCUGUUCUGCAUACGGCCACCCGGAGGCCCAGGCCACGGACAGUCUCAGAGCCGACUAUCCCGGCCCGUCUCCGUGGUAACCGGCUGGCUGCAGAGGGCUGUGGAAAGUGUAGUUGGGCAGGGCCGGCCCGUGCGCAAGGUCUCUGCCUUUACAGCUCGCUGCCGCGGUCAGAGCGAUUUUCCGGCGUCCGGGCGAGCUCCUGCCGUUUUAUCUCGACCUCCUAGCACCCCGACAGGUGGGCGGCCGCCCAGAAAGGUAGGGUGUCGGCCCGGCCUGCCCCCACCGGCGCCGCUCGGUAGGGUCAAGGCGAGGGUUCCCUGGGAGUAAGUUUGACUGCGGUUCGCGUAGACCCACACAGUGGAUCCUAGAGAUGAGAUGGGGAUCCGAGUGAAUCAGAGUGGAGCCUUUAGAGAGCAUCUAGUCCAAUCCUCUUCUGUUAAAGAAGCGGGUACUGAAGCCCAGAGAGAGUCAGUGAUUUGCCCCAGAUCUGCUCACGCCUUUAUUUCCAGCACAAAACACAGUGCCUGGCACAGAACUGGUGCUCGAGCAUUGUGUCAUUCCGUUCUAAGGACAAACUGUUGAAAUACUUCAACAAAUUACUAGAUUUAAAAAUAUAUAUUUUUUAAGAGGGAAGUGGACCUGAAGAGACUAUCAACCAAAUGCAACCUGUAGACCUUAUUUGGAUUAUGAUUCUAACAACCAACCAACUGUGAAAUUUUUUAAAAUCAGGGAAAUGUGAACAUGUAUGAUAUUAAGGAAUUACUGUUUAAAAUUUUUAGUUGUGAUAAUGAUAUUGGGGUUAUGCUUUAAAAAGGAAAAGCGUUUUAGAGACACAUACUGCCGAUUUUAUGGGUGAAAUGAUGUCUGAGAUUUGCUUGAAAAAUAUCCAUUGUGGUGGGAGAGGGGAGAGCAGAUGAAAGGAGAUUGGCUGGGUGUCUACUGGAGGUGGGGAUGGGUACAGGAGAUCACUAAACUAUUCUGUUACCAUACAUAUUCCCCCAAAACGUCAAGUGUAAUUUAAUUAUCUGCUAGAGAUACAUACUGAGUUACCGAUCAGAAAAAAAAUAUACUGUCUGAGAUUUACUUUAAAAUACUCCACAGACACAUACACACACAAAAUGUGGUGAGGUGUGGUGGAAACAGGAAUGGCAGUAAAUGAAUAGCUAUGAAGGUUAGGUGAUGGGAACAUGAGAGUUCGUUGUAUUAUUAUAUUCUCUUUAGUGGGGUUGAAAAUUUCUAUAAUGAAGGGGUUUUAUUUGAUUUUUUAAAAAACAUAUUUUACGUAUUUCAGAAGGUUUCUGAAAUUAAGCUCAUGAGGAGUUUCUUUGCAAUGUAACCCUCCCACAGCACAAGUGAGCCUCCUUGGGAACUUCUCCAGUCAAGAAUGACCCUAGCAAUGAUGGGGGCUGUGUCCUUGGCCCUCCAGAUCCAGUCCCUUAGACCAGCAUCAGGGAACUUCCUAGAGGGGAGGCCGAGGAGCUGCCCCGCCCCAGAGAAGAGUUUCAAGCAGGAGAGAGAAGAGAGGAGUUGGGAAGGUGACCAGAGUGGCCAGAACUGCCGGCCAGGUGAGCUGCUUGUCUCCAGCCAGAAAAGUUGUCCAGGCAGAGACCCCAUGGAUGGAACACGCGUGGCUGUAGUUUCUGAGCAGACCCAGCCCUCAUUACAAGCCAGAGACCACGCAGAAGAGAACCCUCCAGUGUGAGCGUGUGGAAUACACUUCCAGGUCACCCAGAACCUGGCGGCUGGGGCCACUGCGAGACCAGGUCAGGAGAGUGCUACUCUGAUGGGAGAAGGAUGAGCACAUGCGAGAAAGGCAGAGGGGCAGGGACCCCGAGGCUGGGUGCGUGUGAGCUGAAGGACGCAGCUAGAGAGAAACGGCCAGGAGGGCAGCCUCCAGGAAGCCUGGUCCCCAGCACGGACCUUCUCAGCGUGGCUCGUGCUCCACAGGUGUGAAAUGCCCAGGGCUGCCCGGGCAGCAGCUUCUCACCAAGCCACUCAGCUCUCGCACUAGCCACCUGGCCUCCACUU